rnacentral:pre_miRNA from 1 species
ACAACAACAUUCAGCCCGUCAGUCUACCGAGCAAUAUCACCCGCUCAGUGGAAGAUCUUCCCUUUGUCGUAUACC